GCGAGCUUGGCGGAAUGGUAGACGCACGAGACUUAAAAUCUCGAGUCCGUAAGGGCGUGCGGGUUCGAGUCCCGCAGCUCGCACCA
rnacentral:tRNA from 11 species